GGCGCGCGGCUGCAGCGCCGCGCGCGGCUGCAACGCCGCUCCCGGCCGUGUCCGCCAGGCGGCGACUGUGAGGCAGGGCCCGGCGCUCGGGGGCGCUCUCGCAAGCGACGCCCCCGGGAAAGCGGCGGGGUUUGGGCACUGCCGGCCUUCCCCCGCAGUGCCCGGGCUGGCCCGGCGCCUGGCAAAACCUCUGAGGGAAAAGGCAAGCAACAACUGCGCUUCUUCUGCCCUUUCUUUAGCCAGGGACUGGAACACAGACAAAAUCGAGGGGCUCUUUGACCUGGGCAGGCUCCGAGCAUUUUUCAGCCUUCCCUAGCAGGGCAUUCUCACCCUCUGAAAAGCUGAAAGGCUUUAACAGCUGGAGACGCGCCUGCAGCUGUGCGAAUUAAUGUAGUUUCUUUUAGGAAACGAAGGGGAAGUUUUCCUGUUGUGAGCUUAAAUACCGAGUCUGCUCUGCUUUUUCCAUCAGGUGACGAAGCUUAUGGAAAAAAAGACCAAAGGCCUCGAGGGAUGUUAUUCUUGACCCCCCGGGGCAAACGGAGGUGUUCACCUGGUCAGCGUCAGGAGCCAUCCUACCUGAGGCCCUGGCUCCCUCUUUCCCUUCGGUUGCCACGUGUGUGCCGGACACCUCUGGCAGGACUAACCCUGUGGCUUUUAUGUCCAACGUGCUGUGUGCCUGCAGGUAAGAAAAGCUGGGAGUGCAGUCCCUCUGCUUUGCUUGCUGUGUCUCUUGGGUAGUGAUUUUGGAGGGGAAUCCCAGAGCGAUUUGGUUUGAAGGGGACCUUCAAAGGCCACCCUGUCUUCCGUGGGCAGGGACACCUUCCACUCUCAUCCCCGGUUGGAUGCUGCAAGUCCCAUC